rnacentral:rRNA from 1 species
UACAGAGGGUGCAAACGUUGCUCGGAAUCAUUGGGCGUAAAGCGCACGUAGGCGGCCCAGCAAGUGGGGAGUGAAAGCCCUCGGCUUAACCGGGGAACUGCGUCUGAUACUGGAUGGCUAGAGUGUGGGAGAGGGAUGCGGAAUUCCAGGUGUAGCGGUGAAAUGCGUAGAUAUCUGGAGGAACACCAAUUGCGAAGGCAGCUCGCUGGGACGUUACUGACGCUGAGACGCGAAAGCGUGGGGAGCAAACAGG